AUGUAUUUUUGGUUGGAACUAGAGGUACGAAGAAUGGACUGUGUUGGUUUAGUGUUUAAAUUUGGGAUGCAGAGAAGUCACUGGACACAUCUGUAUCAGAUAUCAGAUUUGGAGGUCACAUUAAAUUUAAAAGAAUUUAAUAGUAGUGCUGGUCGGGGAAUAAGACCUUUCUUAUUUGCUGAUAGGUUGAUGAAGGGCCCCCUCUCAUCCAACCUAGGCUCUUCCAAAAUGCCUCCAAUGAUGAAGGGCAUGCUGAUCUCUUUUCUCCAGAAAACCAGCUGAGCUCAGUGGCCAGGCAUGGGCUUUGGAAUCAGAGACCUGAAUUGAGAAUUUGACUUUAUAAAUUUCUGCUUGCUUUUGGGCAGUUUACCUCUCUGCCUCUUUUUCUUUAAAAAAAAGUAUAUCCUAGAGUUGCUCUGAGGUUUAGUGAGCUCUGAUGCCUGUCAAGGCCCUUGGCACAGUGCCUAACCAGGGUAAUUACAUUUAUUAAGGACUGACUUCCCAGCCUUGAAUGAAGGCACUUUAGUGACAGAUUAAUGGAUGCCACAUUCUCUUGCCUCACCUGGGCAGUUUGCAUUUAUAGUAAUCUCCAGACCACUGCUAUCUUGUCAGUUAAUGAGGUUUCUGACUGGACUUUGGCUGGUUUGGCUGUUUUCCAGAGCCUAUCCCUUGUUCAGUAAGCUUUGUUAAGCAAUCUGUUGUGUGUCUUGAGUUCUACAAGGCAUGAUAUAUCUUGUUCUAGCUUCUGCCCUAAGAAAACUCACAGUGUGGGAGGGGCGGCAGACGGUAAACAGACAAAACACCAUGAGGAAGGUGCUAUGGGAGAUCAUCAGAGUACUGUGAAAGUACUGACAGGGCGUCUCACCGAGACUGGAAGUGGAGGAUGGCCAGGAGGGCUUCUCUGAGGAGAUGGUGCUUAAGCUGGGUGUAAAAGAUGAGUAGGAGUUAACCACGUGGGGAUGGUGAGGAAGGGCUUUCCAGGCAGGGGAAGCAGCUUAUGAAAAGGCCGAGAGGAGUAAGAAAGUGUGCUGAAUUCAGAGAAUUGCAGAGUCAGUGCAGGAUGUUAGCUGAGUUUAUGGCAUGAGGGAAGAUGAAGCUGGGAGGAUGAGCAGGGGCCAGUAAAGAACCUACUUGAUUGCAGGGCUGUUGAAUUUAGAUUUUGUUCUGAGCAGUUUGUACCAUUUAAGGAUUUUAAGUAUGGAUGACAGAUGAUAUUUAUAUUUCAAAAAAAUUUUUUUCUGGCAGCAUUGUGGAGGAGAAUUGGAGGGUAUAAGCAUGGAAGCAGAGUUCACUUAGAGCAUGUAAACCUUUUUGGGCCAUGGAUCCCUUUGGCAGUCUGGUGGACCCCUUCUCAGAAUAAUGCAUGAAAUAAAAAACUGAUGAUUUCAAAGGAAACUAGUGAG
rnacentral:lncRNA from 1 species